UGCACGGUGGUGCAGUUGGCAGCACUGUUGCCUUGCGGUAGGAAGGUCCUGGGUUCGACUCCUGGCCGGGGCUCUUUCUGCAU